rnacentral:rRNA from 1 species
UUUUCAAAUUGUCUUAUGAAUAAAAUAUCAGAUAAUACCUGCCCAGUGACACAAGUUCAACGGCCGCGGUAUCCUAACCGUGCAAAGGUAGCAUAAUCACUUGCCUAUUAAUUGUAGGCUAGAAUGAAUGGGUGAACGAAAUAAAGACUGUCUCAAUUAAUUACCUAAAAAUUAUUUUCUAUCUGAAGAAAAGUAGAUAAUCUCGAAGGACAAGAAGACCCUAUAGAGCUUAAUUUUAAUUAUAGAACUACUAUAAGAAUAUUCGGUUGGGGCGACCCAGGGCUAAACAUCACCCAUUAAAUAAAAGAUAAAUUAAUCCAAUAAAUGACCCUUUAAAGAUCAUAAGAACAAGCUACCUUAGGGAUAACAGGCUAAUCCCACUUAAGAGUCCUUAUCAACAGUGGGGUUUGGCACCUCGAUGUUGGCUUAGGGUAUCUAUAUAGCGCAAAAGUUAUAUAAAGAUGGUUUGUUCAACCAAUAAUUCCCUACGUGAUCUGGU